UCUUAGGAAAGGUAAUUCUCAUAAUACACCCUGCGUAAUAAAUUUCAAUGACGACAAUGGUUAUUUUAACAUUAACAAAUUAAAAAUACAAUUAUUGCUUGUAGUAGGCCAGGAAACACUUAAAAAUAUUUAGAAUUGAAUGGAAGAUGAUUAAUUCUAGUGGUGUAUGAUUUAGUAAUGAGGAGUGCUAGCAACACACUCUUUAACAAACACACUUUAACACACUCUCUUCUAUUGGUUAAAAUUUAUAUGAGUACCAUAAAAGUUAUAUGGGUCCACAUUUUUUUAUGGGACUCAUGUGAAUUUCAACCAAUAAAAAAGAGUGUAUUGAAGUGUGUUUAUUAAAGAGUGUGUUGCUAGCAUUAUUCUUUAGUAAUUACCCCCCCUGCUUAUGAAUCAUUUUUAUGCAAAU
rnacentral:lncRNA from 1 species